rnacentral:rRNA from 1 species
UACGGAGGGGGCUAGCGUUGUUCGGAAUUACUGGGCGUAAAGGGCGCGUAGGCGGCCUGUUAAGUCGAACGUGAAAUCCCCGGGCUCAACCCGGGAACUGCGUCCGAUACUGGCAGGCUUGAAUCCGGGAGAGGGAUGUGGAAUUCCAGGUGUAGCGGUGAAAUGCGUAGAUAUCUGGAGGAACACCGGUGGCGAAGGCGGCAUCCUGGACCGGUAUUGACGCUGAGGCGCGAAAGCCAGGGGAGCAAACGGG